CGUCUGGCCUGGGGCUGCAUCUGUCUGGAGGAAAAGGGCACCUUUCUAGAAUUUGCAGAGGUGUGCUUCCAGUAUCCACAGCCCAUUUACCUGUCCAUCAGCCACCACCUUCCCAUCCAGGCCCCACAAGUUCAUCCUUCCGACUGUCCAUCCACCCAUGAAGAGAUGUGAAGGUCAAACACAGACUGGUCCCCCACCUGCGCCCUCUCCGGCUCCUUCCUCCUCCACCUUCUCAUCCAGCCGGCUGGGGAUGGACCAGUAGAGAUGGGCAUCAAGGCGGGCUGCAGCCUCUGCCAGCUCCCUGGCGCUGCAUGAAGGUGUGGGCACCUCAAAGGUCUCAUGGAAGCUGGCAUAGUCCACCUCGUAGAAGCCAUCCUCCAGGGUCAGCACUGAUGUAAAGCGGUGGCCCCACAGCACCUCAUCCACCAAGUAGGAGCUCCGAGCUUGGCAUGUCAUCCCUGGGGGUGAGGGGCAUAGGUCAGUGGGAUCCCAGCCCCAGGGGUCCUUCUCCUGCCUCUCCUCCCAAAACCUGGUUCCCAGCACCCUUCCAUCCACCCCUCCCUAAGGGCCCCCACUGUCCUUUGGUCCAGCCCUUUCUUGCCCAUCCUCACUCAGUUCCCUCAUCUCUUUUCCACUUGCCAGUCCACACUUCCUCCUCUCUCUGGUGUUGCCAAUCAGAGAAGCUUAACCUUGAAACAUCACCUUAAGGAUCAUGUGGUCUAACUUCCCACUCCACACAGGGCUCCCCACUGGAGCAUUCCCAACAGUGGGCAUCUAGCUUGUAUUUGGUUACCUCCCAGGAUGGAGAGCUCACCACCUCAUAAAGGGCCCACUCCUUUGA